GACGAACGCUGGCGGCGUGCUUAACACAUGCAAGUCGAACGGGCCUUGUCCCCUUUUUUUUGGGGGUGGGGUUAGUGGCGAACGGGUGAGUAACACGUGAGUAACCUGCCCCUCACUUCUGGAUAACCGCUUGAAAGGGUGGCUAAUACGGGGUGUUCUGGCCUGCUCGCAUGGGUGGGUUUGGAAAGAUUCGACCGGUUUUGGUUGUUUUGGUGGGGGAUGGGCUCGCGGCCUAUCAGCUUGUUGGUGGGGUGAUGGCCUGCCAAGGCUUUGACGGGUAGCCGGCCUGAGAGGGUGGGCGGUCACACUGGGACUGAGACGCGGCCCAGACCCCUACGGGAGGCAGCAGUGGGGAAUAUUGCACAAUGGGCGCAAGCCUGAUGCAGCGACGCCGCGUGAGGGAUGGAGGCCUUCGGGUUGUGAACCUCUUUCGCCAGUGAAGAAGGUCCUGCUCUUUGUGGUGGGGUUGACGGUAGCUGGGUUAAUGAAGCGCCGGCUAACUACGUG
rnacentral:rRNA from 1 species